rnacentral:rRNA from 1 species
AACCCCUAAAUUUUUUACAGGUUGACCUCGGAUCAGGUAGGGAUACCCGCUGAACUUAAGCAUAUCAAUAA